CCUACGGGUGGCAGCAGUGAGGAAUAUUGGUCAAUGGCCGAGAGGCUGAACCAGCCAAGUCGCGUGAGGGAAGACGGCCCUACGGGUUGUAAACCUCUUUUGACGGGGAGCAAAGAGAGUCACGUGUGACUCAUUGAGAGUACCCGAAGAAAAAGCAUCGGCUAACACCGUGCCAGCAGCCGCGGUAAUACGGAGGAAUCGAACGUUAUCCGGCUGUAUUGGGUUGAAAGGGUGCGCAGGCGGAGGUGCAAGUCAGCGGUCAAAUGGCGGGGCUCAACCCCGUACUGCCGUUGAAACUGCAUCCCUUGAGUGCGCGAGAAGUAUGCGGAAUGCGUGGUGUAGCGGUGAAAU
rnacentral:rRNA from 1 species